rnacentral:rRNA from 1 species
GACGGAGGGUGCAAGCGUUGUUCGGAUUCAUUGGGCGUAAAGGGUGCGUAGGUGGCGCGGUAAGUCGGGUGUGAAAUCUCGGAGCUUAACUCCGAAACUGCAUUCGAUACUGCCGUGCUUGAGGACUGGAGAGGAGACUGGAAUUUACGGUGUAGCGGUGAAAUGCGUAGAGAUCGUAAGGAAGACCAGUGGCGAAGGCGGGUCUCUGGACAGUUCCUGACACUGAGGCACGAAGGCCAGGGGAGCAAACGGG